rnacentral:rRNA from 1 species
UAUGAAGGGGGCUAGCGUUGCUCGGAAUCACUGGGCGUAAAGGGUGCGUAGGCGGGUUAUUAAGUCAGAGGUGAAAUCCUGGAGCUCAACUCCAGAACUGCCUUUGAUACUGAUAGUCUUGAGUAUGGGAGAGGUGAGUGGAACUGCGAGUGUAGAGGUGAAAUUCGUAGAUAUUCGCAAGAACACCAGUGGCGAAGGCGGCUCACUGGCCCAUUACUGACGCUGAGGCACGAAAGCGUGGGGAGCAAACAGG